AUGUGGCUCUACGUCGGAUCAAGAAUCACUCACGAGAGCCAUAUUUUGUUUUUCAUUCCCUUCGUUUGUGCGUCACUGAGCCACAAGGUUUUGAGGGUUGAUCUGAGAUAUCCCACAAUGCAUUCACAGAGAGACAGGAAGAUCAAAGAGAAGAAUGAAAGUUUGGCUUAUUCACUGACUCUCUCGUGUGCUACAUUGAGACAAACAACCAUCAGAGCAGUUCGGGAUUCUGCUUUGGUGAAAUACAAUCCAUUACAACACUGCAGGGAAUGGAUGGUUUGCUGGAAGAUUUACUUUAAGAUGACAACAGACCUAGAGAGUCUCAAGUGAGAAAUUUUCAGGUGACAAAUUUUCAGUUUAAAGAUCCUCUGCUUUGGUUCUUUGUGUACUGUAUACCCAGGUCACAAAUUAGCUCUGUAUAUUAGGUUUGUGAUCAAAAAUAUAGAGUCCCGAUUUUUGUUUUCAGUGUCUUGGAAGAACAAAUGCAAACACAAAUACGUCAGUGGAAAUAGAAGCGACCUUUCAGUGUGUUUUGUCCUAGUCCCUCCCUUUGUAUCUUUUGGUUCACUUGGGCAGAAUUGUACAACAAACAGUAACCUUUUCAGCCCAUUCAUUCACUGUGUACUUGCCCACGAAGUAGUGUUUUUUUUUUUUUUUUUUUUACCACACAUUACCAGCACACAAAGAUCACUGACAGGAAGAACGGAAAGCAUGCAUCUUUGCAGUUUUGUUGAGCUAGUUUUUUAAAAGAUGAACCAUAGCGACAAAACAACAAACUACAGUAGGUUUUGUUCUGUGAUGAUUCUGUGUCAGGUUUAUGUGAUCCAUCGGCCUCUUUCUCAUCUUUUUCUCCUCUACCCUGUAAACAGCUGCAGCCGUGAGGUUGAAGUCAUUUCCCUGUGGGGGUGUUGGGUCCCUGGAGGAGAGCAGCUCUAAUGAGACCCGAUCUGUGGCUUGUUGCUGCUUGGCUCAUCAGACGCAUUCAUCACUCUGGUGUGUAUUAAUCUUCUCUUCUUGAACAGAGACUCAGAGUGUGUCAUGAGGCUUGAAUGCUGCCAUAUCGUCAUACAUUUUCACACGUUUGUAUUUUAUCAGGGAGUUUUCAUUUUGGAAUUUCAUUUAAAUCGUAUUUAUAUUACAAUAUGAUAAAUGAUUUAAAAUUAUUUUGAAAGUGAAUUAG
ensembl:lncRNA